rnacentral:rRNA from 1 species
UACGUAGGUGGCAAGCGUUACUCGGAAUCACUAGGUGUAAAGCGCAGGUAGGAGGUUUGGUAAGUCUGUUGUGAAAGCUCCCGGCUUAACUGGGAGAGGUCAACGGAAACUACUAGGCUAGAGUGCGGUAGAGGUAGCUGGAAUUCCCGGUGUAGCGGUGAAAUGCGUAGAUAUCGGGAGGAAUACCUAUGGCGAAAGCAGGCUACUGGACCGUCACUGACUCUGAUCUGCGAAAGCUAGGGGAGCAAACAGG